GUGCUCGCUUCGGCAGCACAUAUACUGAAAUUUGAAUGAUGCAGAGAAGAUUAGCAUGGCCCCUAUUCAAGCAUGACAUGCAAAUUUGUGAAGUGUCCCAUAUUUAC